UACGUAGUGCGCAAGCGUUAUCCGGAAUUAUUGGGCGUAAAGAGCUCGUAGGCGGUUUGUCGCGUCUGCCGUGAAAAUCCGGGGCUCAACCCCGGAUCUGCGGUGGGUACGGGCAGACUAGAGUGAUGUAGGGGAGACUGGAAUUCCUGGUGUAGCGGUGAAAUGCGCAGAUAUCAGGAGGAACACCGAUGGCGAAGGCAGGUCUCUGGGCAUUAACUGACGCUGAGGAGCGAAAGCAUGGGGAGCGAACAGG
rnacentral:rRNA from 1 species